rnacentral:tRNA from 1 species
GAGGAGGGGCGGAUGUAGCCAAUUGGAUCAAGGCAGUGGAUUGUGA